rnacentral:lncRNA from 1 species
UUGGUCAAAAGUGGGAGUGAGAUGCUCUAGAUUUUGAGGACAAAUGUGAUAUGCUAUGCCUCGAUUUCUCUUGACUAGCGUAGGCUGUGGAGCUGCAUAGGAUGGCAUGACACUUGGAGCUUUGGUACAAGAGGAUCUACGGGAUGUUUCAGCUACCUUUUCUUUCCCUUUCCUCCUCUGAGCAACCACAAGCCGUUCUUCUUCAGAUUCUUCCUGCUUAUACAUUUGUCACUCUCAACUCUAGGAGGAUUUGGAUCAUGCCUUGCCUUAGUUCUCCUUUGCAUUGCACUAGCACGAGUGUCCCUUUCCCUUCCCAUCUAGAUAAAGCAGAGAACAC